UACGUAGGAGGCGAGCGUUGUCCGGAUUUACUGGGCGUAAAGCGCGCGCAGGCGGCAUGGCAAGUAAGGUGUGAAAUCUCCCUGCCUAACGGGGAGGGUGCAUUUUAGACUGCCAAGCUAGAGGACGGUAGAGGGGGGUAGAAUUGCUGGUGUAGCGGUGAAAUGCGUAGAGAUCAGCAGGAAUACCCGUGGCGAAGGCGGCCCACUGGGCCGGUGCUGACGCUGAGGCGCGAAGGCGUGGGGAGCGAACGGG
rnacentral:rRNA from 1 species